UGGGGAAUUUUGGACAAUGGGCGAAAGCCUGAUCCAGCAAUGCCGCGUGUGUGAAGAAGGCCUUCGGGUUGUAAAGCACUUUUGUCCGGAAAGAAAUCCUUGGCUCUAAUACAGUCGGGGGAUGACGGUACCGGAAGAAUAAGCACCGGCUAACUACGUGCCAGCAGCCGCGGUAAUACGUAGGGUGCAAGCGUUAAUCGGAAUUACUGGGCGUAAAGCGUGCGCAGGCGGUUUGCUAAGACCGAUGUGAAAUCCCCGGGCUCAACCUGGGAACUGCAUUGGUGACUGGCAGGCUAGAGUAUGGCAGAGGGGGGUAGAAUUCCACGUGUAGCAGUGAAAUGCGUAGAGAUGUGGAGGAAUACCGAUGGCGAAGGCAGCCCCCUGGGCCAAUACUGACGCUCAUGCACGAAAGCGUGGGGAGCAAACAGGAUUAGAUACCCUGGUAGUCCACGCCCUAAACGAUGUCAACUAGUUGUUGGGGAUUCAUUUCCUUAGUAACGUAGCUAACGCGUGAAGCUGACCGCCUGGGGAGUACGGUCGCAAGAUUAAAACUCAAAGGAAUUGACGGGGUCAUAGCUGUUUCCU
rnacentral:rRNA from 1 species